rnacentral:rRNA from 1 species
GAUGAACGCUGGCGGCGUGCCUAAUACAUGCAAGUCGAGCGAACAGACGAGGAGCUUGCUCCUCUGACGUUAGCGGCGGACGGGUGAGUAACACGUGGAUAACCUACCUAUAAGACUGGGAUAACUUCGGGAAACCGGAGCUAAUACCGGAUAAUAUAUUGAACCGCAUGGUUCAAUAGUGAAAGACGGUUUUGCUGUCACUUCUCGAUGGAUCCGCGCCGCAUUAGCUAGUUGGUAAGGUAACGGCUUACCAAGGCAACGAUGCAUAGCCGACCUGAGAGGGGGAUCGGCCACACUGGAACUGAGACACGGUCCAGACUCCUACGGGAGGCAGCAGUAGGGAAGGUAUCGCAAUGGGCGAAAGCCUGACGGAGCAACGGCGCGUGAGUGAUGAAGGUCUUCGGAUCGUAAAACGCUGUUAUGAGGGAAGAACAAAUGUGUAAGUAACUAUGCACGUCUUGACGGUACCUAAUCAGAAAGCCACGGCAAACUACGU